rnacentral:rRNA from 1 species
GUGGGGAAUUUUGGACAAUGGGGGCAACCCUGAUCCAGCCAUGCCGCGUGCGGGAAGAAGGCCUUCGGGUUGUAAACCGCUUUUGUCAGGGAAGAAAUCUUCUGAGCUAAUACCUCGGGAGGAUGACGGUACCUGAAGAAUAAGCACCGGCUAACUACGUGCCAGCAGCCGCGGUAAUACGUAGGGUGCAAGCGUUAAUCGGAAUUACUGGGCGUAAAGCGUGCGCAGGCGGUUAUGCAAGACAGAUGUGAAAUCCCCGGGCUUAACCUGGGAACUGCAUUUGUGACUGCAUAGCUGGAGUACGGCAGAGGGGGAUGGAAUUCCGCGUGUAGCAGUGAAAUGCGUAGAUAUGCGGAGGAACACCGAUGGCGAAGGCAGUCCCCUGGGCCUGUACUGACGCUCAUGCACGAAAGCGUGGGGAGCAAACAGGAUUAGAAACCCGGGUAGUCC